UAUAUACUCCCUCCGUCCCAAAAUUCUUGUCUUAGAUUUGUCUAGAUACGGAUGUACUACAUCCGUAUCUAGACAAAUCUAAGACAAGAAUUUUGGGACGGAGGGAGUACCAA
rfam:Triticum aestivum genome assembly, contig: Triticum_aestivum_CS42_TGACv1_scaffold_643164_T_4DL-0.253801_6DS-0.190403